GCCGUCUUAGCUCAGCAGGUAGAGCGCUUCCAUGGUAAGGAAGAGGUCACCGGUUCGAUUCCGGUAGAUGGCU
rnacentral:tRNA from 1 species